UGGGGAAUCUUCCGCAAUGGACGAAAGUCUGACGGAGCAACGCCGCGUGAGUGAUGACGGCCUUCGGGUUGUAAAGCUCUGUUAAUCGGGACGAAAGGUCUUCUUGCGAAUAGUUAGAAGAAUUGACGGUACCGGAAUAGAAAGCCACGGCUAACUACGUGCCAGCAGCCGCGGUAAUACGUAGGUGGCAAGCGUUGUCCGGAAUUAUUGGGCGUAAAGCGCGCGCAGGCGGAUCAGUCAGUCUGUCUUAAAAGUUCGGGGCUUAACCCCGUGAUGGGAUGGAAACUGCUGAUCUAGAGUAUCGGAGAGGAAAGUGGAAUUCCUAGUGUAGCGGUGAAAUGCGUAGAUAUUAGGAAGAACACCAGUGGCGAAGGCGACUUUCUGGACGAAAACUGACGCUGAGGCGCGAAAGCCAGGGGAGCGAACGGGAUUAGAUACCCCGGUAGUCCUGGCCGUAAACGAUGGGUACUAGGUGUAGGAGGUAUCGACCCCUUCUGUGCCGGAGUUAACGCAAUAAGUACCCCGCCUGGGGAGUACGACCGCAAGGUUG
rnacentral:rRNA from 1 species